CACGUAGGGCGCGAGCGUUGUCCGGAAUUAUUGGGCGUAAAGAGCUCGUAGGCGGCCUGUUGCGUCCGCUGUGAAAGCCCGGGGCUUAACCCCGGGUCGGCAGUGGAUACGGGCAGGCUAGAGGUAGGUAGGGGAGAAUGGAAUUCCCGGUGUAGCGGUGAAAUGCGUAGAGAUCCGGAGGAACACCAAAGGCGAAGGCAGUGUCCUGGGGAGUACCUGACGCUCAGGUGCGAAAGCCAGGGGAGCGAACGGG
rnacentral:rRNA from 1 species